rnacentral:rRNA from 1 species
CUACGGGUCGCAGCAGUGGGGAAUCUUAGACAAUGGGCGCAAGCCUGAUCUAGCCAUGCCGCGUGAACGAUGAAGUAUUUCGGUAUGUAAAGUUCUAUCAGCAGGGAAGAUAAUGACGGUACCUGACUAAGAAGCACCGGCUAAAUACGUGCCAGCAGCCGCGGUAAUACGUAUGGUGCAAGCGUUAUCCGGAUUUACUGGGUGUAAAGCGAACGUAGGCGGGAAAGUAAGUUAGAAGUGAAAUGUAUCGGCUCAACCGAUGAUCUGCUUUUAAUACUGCUUUUCUUGAGUAUGGAAGAGGAAGAUGGAAUUCCAGGUGUAGCGGUGGAAUGCGUAGAUAUCUGGAAGAACACCAGUUGCGAAGGCGGUCUUCUGGUCCAAUACUGACGCUGAGGUUCGAAAGCUAGGGGAGCGAACAGGAUUAGAUACCCGGGUAGUC